rnacentral:rRNA from 1 species
AGCGGCAACAGCUCAAAUUUGAAAUCUGGCGUAAGCCCGAGUUGUAAUUUGUAGAGGAUGCUUCUGGGUAGCGGCCGGUCUAAGUUCCUUGGAACAGGACGUCAUAGAGGGUGAGAAUCCCGUAUGUGACUGGCUUGCACCCUCCACGUAGCUCCUUCGACGAGUCGAGUUGUUUGGGAAUGCAGCUCUAAAUGGGAGGUAAAUUUCUUCUAAAGCUAAAUACCGGCCAGAGACCGAUAGCGCACAAGUAGAGUGAUCGAAAGAUGAAAAGCACUUUGGAAAGAGAGUUAAAAAGCACGUGAAAUUGUUGAAAGGGAAGCGCCCGCAACCAGACUUUGCGGCGGUGUUCGGCUGGUCUUCUGACCGGUUUACUCGCCGCCGUGAGGCCAUCAUCGUCUGGGACCGCUGGAUAAGACCUGAGGAAUGUAGCUCCCUUCGGGGUGUGUUAUAGCCUCUGGUGAUGCAGCGCGUCUCGGGCGAGGUCCGCGCUUCGGCAAGGAUGAUGGCGUAAUGGUUGUCGGCGGCCCGUCUUGAAACACGGACCAAGGAGUCUAACAUCUAUGCGAGUGUUCGGGUGUCAAACCCCUACGCGUAAUGAAAGUGAACGGAGGUGGGAACUUUUUGUGCACCAUCGACCGAUCCUGAUGUCCUCGGAUGGAUUUGAGUAAGAGCAUAGCUGUUGGGACCCGAAAGAUGGUGAACUAUGCCUGAAUAGGGUGAAGCCAGAGGAAACUCUGGUGGAGGCUCGCAGCGGUUCUGACGUGCAAAUCGAUCGUCAAAUUUGG